ACAAGCUCUUCUUUUUCGGCGCCA
rnacentral:siRNA from 1 species